rnacentral:siRNA from 1 species
GCGUGACAUAAGGGAUUGCCAUA